UACAGAGGUCUCAAGCGUUGUUCGGAUUCAUUGGGCGUAAAGGGUGCGUAGGCGGCGCGGUAAGUCGGGUGUGAAAUCUCGGAGCUUAACUCCGAAACUGCAUUCGAUACUGCCGUGCUUGAGGACUGGAGAGGAGACUGGAAUUUACGGUGUAGCGGUGAAAUGCGUAGAUAUCGUAAGGAAGACCAGUGGCGAAGGCGGGUCUCUGGACAGUUCCUGAUGCUGAGGCACGAAGGUCAGGGGAGCAAACGGG
rnacentral:rRNA from 1 species